UACGAAGGGUGCAAGCGUUACUCGGAAUUACUGGGCGUAAAGCGUGCGUAGGUGGUUUGUUAAGUCUGAUGUGAAAGCCCUGGGCUCAACCUGGGAAUGGCAUUGGAAACUGGCUUACUAGAGUGCGGUAGAGGGUAGUGGAAUUCCCGGUGUAGCAGUGAAAUGCGUAGAUAUCGGGAGGAACAUCUGUGGCGAAGGCGACUACCUGGACCAGCACUGACACUGAGGCACGAAAGCGUGGGGAGCAAACAGG
rnacentral:rRNA from 1 species